rnacentral:rRNA from 1 species
UACGAAGGUCCCAAGCGUUGUUCGGAAUCAUUGGGCGUAAAGAGCGUGUAGGCGGCCAAUUAAGUCUGAUGUGAAAGCCCGGGGCUUAACCCCGGAAGUGCAUUGGAUACUGAUUGGCUAGAGGACGAGAGGGGAAGGCGGAAUUCCUGGUGUAGGGGUGAAAUCCGUAGAUAUCAGGAGGAACACCGGAGGCGAAGGCGGCUUUCUGGCUCGUAACUGACGCUGAGACGCGAAAGCGUGGGGAGCAAACAGG